GUCAAUAGCCUAACGGCUGAACCAGCAACUUGGAGGAAUGUAUAGCAAUAGCUGAUUGCACCAACAGAUAGUUGAUGCAAUAUCGACUAUGUUGAAUAAAAUUCUGGGUAGAAUUAUGAUGAUGACAUUGUCUGCCCAUGUGUCUUGACCAAAUUACGUGCCAGCAGUCGCGGUAAUACGUAGGAGACUAGUGUUAUUCAUCUUUAAUAGGUUUAAAGGGUACCUAGACGGUAAAUCAAGCCUACAUAGGGACUAAUUUACUAGAGUUACUUAUGAGGGGGUAUUAAAGUACUGUUGGUGUAGAGAUGAAAUUCUGUCAUACCUCUUUUUGUAUGGAAAAUAAUGGCACAGGUAUAGGCGAAAGCAUCCCCUUAUGUGAUAACUGACGUUGAAGGACGAAGGCUUUGUGUCGCGAACAGGAUUAGAUACCCCAGUAGUCAAAGCAGAAAAUGAUGAAUGUCAUAGAUUAGAUAUAAGAUUUUUUAUUCUAUAAAUGAAAGUGUAAGCAUUCCACCUCAAGAGUAAUUUGGCAACAUUGGAACUGAAAUCAUUAGACCGUUUCUGAAACCAGUAGUGAAGUAUGUUGUUUAAUUUGUUAAUCCGCAAAAAACCUUACCACAAUUUGAAUAUUUAUAUAGCUUUUCUCUUUUUGACCUAUAGAUCGAGAGAUAGAUAAAUAGAUAAAGGAGGGAAAAGGAUAUAUUUACAAGCGUUGCACGGCUGUCUUUAGUUAAUGUCGUGAGAUUAUGGUUAGUGCCAUUAAAUUAACGUAAACCCUUACUUUAUUUUUUAUAUGAAGUUGUUCCCCGCUAUACUGGAUAUGAUAACAGGGAUUAAGACAAGUCAUCAUGACCUAAAUAUUG
rnacentral:rRNA from 1 species